rnacentral:lncRNA from 1 species
GUAAAUAUCUGAUCCACACUGUCAGCUGUUGCAGCCUGCAGCAGCUCUGUCAGGCUUAUGGAUGCCUUAUGGUGCUCUGCCUGCUUUUUUGGGUACUGCAGGUUUUGGAAGACUGGAAAGAAUCUGCCUAUGGAUGUUUUCUCCUUCUGCUUUGCCAAGUCACAGAAUGUGACAACUGGUUUGUUCCAAGGAUAUAAGUGCAAGACAGGCUUGCUGAGGUGCUGGGAUAUAUGAAGAGGUCUGGAGUGAAGAAGAUGCCCUGUUUGACACUGUCUCCAAAAAUCAUGGGUCUGAUUAUAUAUAGCUCCUUGGUUUGAAAGAAAAUAAUAAAUCAGCAAAACAAAUGUUUGAAGAGGGUUGG